AAUCAGCGCGGUCGGAGCUAGCUGCCGGCUGCUGUUGCUAGGGGCGACUCGUCCUGUUGGGUCUGAGGGGGUGGUGCCGUCGGAAAGGUCUUGCUUGGUCUCCUCUCUAGCGGGCGGAGAGUUCCAAUGGUCCAGAUUGCCUGGGCAUCCCUGACCCCUCCGGACCACUUCCCUAGAGGGCAUCCUGUGCCCGACUGCUGGGCUGGCAUUUGCAGAGUACAGAUCUAGGCUGUCUGGAUUAUACUACACAUGAAGAGCCUACUGUUUGCAAAAAUUGACUUUUCUUUCCCGCGGCCACGCUGCAAAGGAUGGAGCUCCAGCAGCGAAGCAGCAGUCACUGGUCUAGCUGAAGAGGAAGGAGCCAGGCUCCUGCUUCGUAACCGAGGCAUCUAGCAUCCAGCCAAAGAACUUUUUUGCCUCUGACUAAGGAGCCACUGGUUAUCGGAGCCGGCUCAAUUGAAUACCCAUUCGGAUGAAAGAGUGAAGUAUAAAAUAACAAGGUAGCACAAAAAGCUGGGAAGAGGGACUCGAUGAGAUCACGUAGACGCCCCCAGGAUCAGAUCCUAAAUGCCGAUCUUCAAACACCAGCAUCACAUCCAGAGAGGCCAGAGGGUCCCAAGACAAAACAAGCCGGGGCCAAGACGCACUCAGAGCUCCUAUCUCACCCUCUUAGGGGUGUGCUCGGGGCACCAGAUGGGUUAUUAAAUGUUAUUCUCUUUCUCCCUUUUUGGUUAAGCAGAGGACUGCAGAGGAAAGCCUCUGAAUCAAAUGUUUGCUCCACACAGUUCAACUGAAAUGUAGGUUGUGAUGAGUGGACACGUGCUCCACAGCUAAGAGACCAACCGAGGGCAUCCUAUCCCACUCGUGGGUCUAAGGGGAGACUUACAGAAGGCAUACUUACUCUGAAGAUGGAAUGAUAGCUGAAGAGACAGAGUGAUGCCUAGGGCCUGUCAGACACCCAGUUUAGCCUAAUACAGAAAAGCACGGAGGUGAGAAACAACAGGGUGAAUCCAAGGAAAUUCAACAGGAGCAUGUGAGAGGCAGGAGCCAGGGAGAGUUAGACAUGGCCCGAAACAAGUUCUCCCCUCCACCCUGAGGAAUUCUGGUGCUUCAGCACUGGCUCCUGAAGAAUUGGGGAAACUUCCCAGAAGGUUGUCAGCCUCUCUCCGGCAGGAGCUUUACAGAGGUCUGUGGACACUUCAGAGCACCCACACGGGCCAGAGAAGUAACUGGUCACGAGGCUUCCCCCAGGGGGACUUCCUCACUCAAGCGACACAUUAAACUCUGAGUCAAUGAAUGCCAGAGGUUAGGGGUAAAGAUGACAGCACUUCACCUCAAGCUACCUCCUAGUUUUCAUAAAGUUUGGAAUUGAAGCUGACGAGAUGUAGACUCACCGUAAAGAGCUGGAAGCAGCAAGCAUAUCUGUGGCCCAUGAAAAGGGAGAGGGGGACCAGGAGGGCAUGGGCUGGAGAAGGACGAGGUUGUGUCCAGAGGAAUGGAGCAAUUAAACUUUAAACUAUUCUUUUCAUAAU
rnacentral:lncRNA from 1 species